rnacentral:rRNA from 1 species
GACAGAGGGUGCAAACGUUGCUCGGAAUCACUGGGCGUAAAGGGCGUGUAGGCGGGCAUGCAAGUCAGGCGUGAAAUCCCUGGGCUCAACCCAGGAAUUGCACUUGAAACUGCAUGUCUUGAGUAUCGGAGAGGAAAGCGGAAUUCCUGGUGUAGAGGUGAAAUUCGUAGAUAUCAGGAGGAACACCGGUGGCGAAGGCGGCUUUCUGGACGAUAACUGACGCUGAGACGCGAAAGCGUGGGGAGCAAACAGG